UAUCCGUUUGUCAGACUAAUCACUGUCUUGUGAGAGGGGUUAUUUCAGUAAAGAAUGAAAGUCAGCUCUCAAGUGAGAAGGAAAUGAAUGAUGUGAAGAGACACCUGACUCAUAAUUAACUCUGUUCGACAGCAAUGCACUGGCACCAAACCUGCAGCAGAGAGUGGUACCCUGGGCUUCAUCUUACAGAAUGCACAGGAAGGAGGAAAAUGUACAUUUUGCCUCAGCAGCUGCUCAUCACCGCCUUUAUAAUUCAGUUCUGCACUACAUUGGAAAUGUUGCAUCCCCAGGCUUGGAAAUGUCUCUGACCCAAGAGAGGUGCUCAGAGGAGAGAAGGAAGCUUAAUGAGAUUCAGUGCCU